rnacentral:rRNA from 1 species
AUUGAACGCUGGCGGCAGGCCUAACACAUGCAAGUCGAGCGGAUGACGGGAGCUUGCUCCUGGAUUCAGCGGCGGACGGGUGAGUAAUGCCUAGGAAUCUGCCUGGUAGUGGGGGACAACGUUUCGAAAGGAACGCUAAUACCGCAUACGUCCUACGGGAGAAAGCAGGGGACCUUCGGGCCUUGCGCUAUCAGAUGAGCCUAGGUCGGAUUAGCUUGUUGGUGAGGUAAUGGCUCACCAAGGCGACGAUCCGUAACUGGUCUGAGAGGAUGAUCAGUCACACUGGAACUGAGACACGGUCCAGACUCCUACGGGAGGCAGCAGUGGGGAAUAUUGGACAAUGGGCGAAAGCCUGAUCCAGCCAUGCCGCGUGUGUGAAGAAGGUCUUCGGAUUGUAAAGCACUUUUAGUUGGGAGGAAGGGUUGUA